GGGGAAUAUUGGACAAUGGGCGCAAGCCUGAUCCAGCAAUGCCGCGUGGGUGAAGACGGCCUGCGGGUUGUAAAGCCCUUUAGGUGGGGAGGAAAGGUGGUACGCGAAUAACGUGCCGCACUGACGUUACCCACAGAAUAAGCACCGGCUAACUCCGUGCCAGCAGCCGCGGUAAUACGGAGGGUGCAAGCGUUAAUCGGAAUUACUGGGCGUAAAGCGUGUGUAGGCGGUAAAGUCGGUCAGGCGUGAAAGCCCUGGGCUUAACCGGGGAACGGCGUUUGAGACGGCUUAACUCGAGUGGGCUAGAGGAUCGUGGAAUUCCGGGUGUAGCGGUGAAAUGCGUAGAGAUCCGGAGGAACACCGAUGGCGAAGGCAGCGAUCUGGGGCCACACUGACGCUGAGACACGAAAGCGUGGGGAGCAAAC
rnacentral:rRNA from 1 species